rnacentral:rRNA from 1 species
GACGAACGCUGGCGGCGUGCUUAACACAUGCAAGUCGAACGGAAAGGCCCUGCUUUUGUGGGGUGCUCGAGUGGCGAACGGGUGAGUAACACGUGAGUAACCUGCCCUUGACUUUGGGAUAACUUCAGGAAACUGGGGCUAAUACCGGAUAGGAGCUCCUGCUGCAUGGUGGGGGUUGGAAAGUUUCGGCGGUUGGGGAUGGACUCGCGGCUUAUCAGCUUGUUGGUGGGGUAGUGGCUUACCAAGGCUUUGACGGGUAGCCGGCCUGGGAGGGUGACCGGCCACAAUGGGACUGCGAUACGGCCCAGACUCGUACGGGAGGCAGCAGUGGGGAAUAUUGCACAAUGGGCGGAAGCCUGAUGAAGAAACGCCGCGUGCGGGAUGACGGCCUUCGGGUUGUAAACCGCUUUCGCCUGUGACGAAGCGUGAGUGACGGUAAUGGGUAAAGAAGCACCGGCUAACUACGUG